UACGAAGGGGGCUAGCGUUGCUCGGAAUCACUGGGCGUAAAGCGCACGUAGGCGGAUUGCUAAGUCAGGGGUGAAAUCCUGGAGCUCAACUCCAGAACUGCCUUUGAUACUGGCGGCCUUGAGUCCGGGAGAGGUGAGUGGAACUGCGAGUGUAGAGGUGAAAUUCGUAGAUAUUCGCAAGAACACCAGUGGCGAAGGCGGCUCACUGGCCCGGUACUGACGCUGAGGUGCGAAAGCGUGGGGAGCAAACAGGG
rnacentral:rRNA from 1 species